AAGAAAUCGUAUCUGAUAGAGGGACACUGUUUAUAUCACAAUUUUGGAGGAAGUUUUGUUCUGAACUUGGGGUUUCAUUGCCUUUUUCUCAUCAUAUCACCCCCAGACAAAUGGGGCUACAAAAAGGGUUAAUCAACCUAUAGACGGCUUCUUGUGAUAUUUCAUAUCACAUAACCAUGACAACUGGUAUGACCUUCUUCCUUGUGCUUAAUUCACACAUAAUAAUACUACACAUGACUCCUCACAGCAUAGCCCUUUCUUCAUUACAUAUGGCAGACAUCCCCUUGUUAUCCCUUCUCAGUUUCAUGAAACUGGAUUACUGGUUCUCGAUCAACACCUUCAUGAUCUUCAAGACAGGAGGAAGCUUGUACAGCGUGCAUUGUCUUUGGCUUCCUCUCGUCAUAAAAGUCAUGCAGACAAACGCCAUUCUAUGACACCUAGUUAUGUUGUCGGGGACAAGGUCUGGCUUUCCACUUGCAACUUCAGAUUGAAAGUGCCGACUAUGAAGUUGGCUCCAAGAUACUAUGGCCCAUAUGUAAUCUCUAGGAAAAUCAAUCCUGUGUCAUAUGCGUUGGCACUCCCUCCGGCCUUGCG